ACAGUGAGGCUGUGUGGCUCCAGUUUUCUUCUGCAAGCCUAUUUGUCUGACAUUGGAUCGUGGAGGACGGUGUGCUCAGAUGGAUGGGCUGAUCACCAUGGGAAGGCAGCCUGACAGUGUUUAGGAUACAGCAGAGACACAUGUUAAAUCUGGCUGACAAAUGCCAGUGGAUUCUUAAUGCUGAAGUCUGGAUCAAGCCCUGACACACCCAUAAUGCAACAGCUUGCGGGCACGUCAGUGAAAAAAUUGAAACCUGUCCCAGUGUUAAUGGGGUGACCCUGAAGUGCAUAGACAUGCAGGAUUUGGGAAUCAAAUAUCUACAUACUUCAGCCAUGGCCGUUCUUCAGUGAGCCACAUUGUCACCCAUGAUUACAACACAGAGACUGGGAAUAACAACGUCGCCCUCAUUAGACUCAUUCAACCAUUGCAGAUGAAUGAUCAAAUAAGGCCUGUGUGUUUGCCCAAUGUCGGGCUGGACUUCACUGCUCCCCAGACAUUCUGGAUUUCAGGGGUUUGGCAGCACAGUUUC